rnacentral:lncRNA from 1 species
AAGUCUUGCAUAAUACUGGUACUUCACAUCAAAGGGAACAAUAAGUUGAUCAUUCUCUCCACUUCCAUUUAUAUCAAAAGAAGACGACGGGGGCAUUAAGGAAAUUUCCUUUUUCUUCUCGGAAGAAGGAGCAGACCUCUCAUCAGCCCAGAACCUCUUUGGAGCUCGGACAGCAAACUGAGGAGGAGGCCGGCCAGACGACCUGGGUAAAACAGUCUCAGUAGCUUGCCGAAUAGUCCCACCCAUCGGCCGUCCUACCAGCAGGAUCUCCAAAGCACCGUCCAGACUCCUUAGAGGUAACAUCAAAUUUUCAAGAAUUUUGAACUGACCCAUUCUUAUCUCAGGUACUGCAAAAAGUUUCAAAACAGAGACAAGUCAGAAACAAUUCUCCAUCAAGAUGAUAAAAGCAAGAUUAGCC